AGUGAACGCUGGCGGUAGGCCUAACACAUGCAAGUCGAACGGCAGCACAGUAAGAGCUUGCUCUUACGGGUGGCGAGUGGCGGACGGGUGAGGAAUACAUCGGAAUCUACUUUUUCGUGGGGGAUAACGUAGGGAAACUUACGCUAAUACCGCAUACGACCUACGGGUGAAAGCAGGGGAUCUUCGGACCUUGCGCGAUUGAAUGAGCCGAUGUCGGAUUAGCUAGUUGGCGGGGUAAAGGCCCACCAAGGCGACGAUCCGUAGCUGGUCUGAGAGGAUGAUCAGCCACACUGGAACUGAGACACGGUCCAGGCUCCUACGGGAGGCAGCAGUGGGGAAUAUUGGACAAUGGGCGCAAGCCUGAUCCAGCCAUACCGCGUGGGUGAAGAAGGUCUUCGGGUUGUAAAGCCCUUUUGUUGGGAAAGAAAAGCAGCAGGUUAAUACCCCGCUGUUCUGACGGUACCCAAAGAAUAAGCACCGGCUAACUUCGUG
rnacentral:rRNA from 1 species